rnacentral:rRNA from 1 species
UACAGAGGUCCCAAGCGUUGUUCGGAUUCACUGGGCGUAAAGGGUGCGUAGGCGGCCUUAUAAGUCAGUGCUGAAAUACUCUAGCUUAACUAGAGGGGUGGCAUUGAUACUGUAGGGCUUGAGUAUAGUCGAGGUAGGCGGAAUUGACGGUGUAGCGGUGAAAUGCUUAGAUAUCGUCAAGAACACCGAUAGUGUAGACAGCUUACUAGGCUAUAACUGACGCUGAGGCACGAAAGUGUGGGGAUCAAACAGG